rnacentral:rRNA from 1 species
CCCAGUAACUGCGAGUGAAGAGGGAAGAGCUCAUCAUUGGAAUCUGGCAGUGGUUGCACUGUCCGAGUUGUAGAUGAGGAGUAGCCCAUCUGGACUGCAUGGCGUCCAAGUACAAUAGGCCGUCAGUGGGACAUCAUAGAGGGUGACAAUCCCGUCCUUGAUGCCAGUGUGCAAGUCCGUUACGAUGGCUAUCUCAGAGAGUCGAGCAGUUUGGGAUUUGCUGCUUAAACAUGGGAGGUAGAUUCCUUCUAAAGCUAAAUACAGGCGAGAGACCGAUAGAGAACAAGUACCGCAAGGGAAAGAUGAAAUAGCACUCUGUGAAGGGAGUCAAAAGGCGUGAAAUUGUUGCGAGAGAAGCGAUUCAAGUCAGCGUAGCUAGGCCCAUUAAGCCUCUUUGCUUUGGACUAGCUUUGCCAGCGGUCUUGUCCUUAAGAGACUUGACUUUUGUAUGCCCAGCCUGGUAUGUACAGGUAGCCCCGCCUCCUUGGGUUGGGGUCAGUGGUAUGGCUGGUGGAAUGGCUUGCAAUCGACCCGUCUUGAAACACGGACCAAGGAGUCUAACAUGUAUGCGAGUAUAAGGGUGGCAAACCCGUAUGCGCAAUGAAAGUGAUUUUCGGUGAUUGAGAAUGGCCUGAUGACCAGACAAGCAAUACAUGUCCCUCGUACGGCCAUUGCCCAAGUUCCGUGGUAGAUCCCAUGAACAUGGAGUUGGAGCAUACAUGCUAGGACCCGAAAGAUGGUGAACUAUGCCUGGACAAAGCGAAGCCAAAGGAAACUCUGGUGGAGGCUUGUAGCGAUUCUGACGUGCAAAUCGAUCGUCUGAUCUGGGUAUAGGGGCGAAAGACUAAUCGAACCAUCUCAUAGCUGGUUCCUGCCGAAGUUUCCCUCAGGAUAGCAGAGACCUAGUGGAAGUUGCAUGUGGUAAAGCGAAUGAUUAUUGAUCCUGGGGCUCAAAUGGGCCUCAGUCUAUUCUCAAACUGUGAAUGCGUGCGGUUGGACUGUGCUUAGCGAUAGAA